UACGAAGGGGGCUAGCGUUGUUCGGAUUCACUGGGCGUAAAGCGCACGUAGGUGGAUUGUUUAGUGAGGGGUGAAAUCCCAAGGCUCAACCUUGGAGCUGCCUUUCAUACUGGCAAUCUUGAGUUCGGAAGAGGUGAGUGGAAUUCCAAGUGUAGAGGUGAAAUUCGUAGAUAUUUGGAAGAACACCGGUGGCGAAGGCGACUCACUGGUCCGAUACUGACACUGAGGUGCGAAAGCGUGGGGAGCAAACAGG
rnacentral:rRNA from 1 species